rnacentral:snoRNA from 18 species
AGAAAAGCAGGAUGUUGUUCUCUAUAUAAGCAUUGUCCUCGUAAACUUCAGGAAUAUCAGAGUGAGUCAUUGUUCUUGGGUGAAUCAAUUGACACAGCUUGAUGUUAAUUGGUUCAGUAAAUGAUGACACAAUU